AGACCCGAAACCCGGUGAUCUAGCCAUGGGCAGGUUGAAGGUUGGGUAACACUAACUGGAGGACCGAACCGACUAAUGUUGAAAAAUUAGCGGAUGACCUGUGGCUGGGGGUGAAAGGCCAAUCAAACCGGGAGAUAGCUGGUUCUCCCCGAAAGCUAUUUAGGUAGCGCCUCGUGAAUUCAUCUCCGGGGGUAGAGCACUGUUUCGGCUAGGGGGCCAUCCCGGCUUACCAACCCGAUGCAAACUGCGAAUACCGGAGAAUGUUAUCACGGGAGACACACGGCGGGUGCUAACGUCCGUCGUGAAGAGGGAAACAACCCAGACCGCCAGCUAAGGUCCCAAAGUCAUGGUUAAGUGGGAAACGAUGUGGGAAGGCCCAGACAGCCAGGAUGUUGGCUUAGAAGCAGCCAUCAUUUAAAGAAAGCGUAAUAGCUCACUGGUCGAGUCGGCCUGCGCGGAAGAUGUAACGGGGCUAAACCAUGCACCGAAGCUGCGGCAGCGACGCUUAUGCGUUGUUGGGUAGGGGAGCGUUCUGUAAGCCUGUGAAGGUGGCCUGUGAGGGU
rnacentral:rRNA from 1 species